GACGAACGCUGGCGGCGUGCUUGACGCAUGCAAGUCGAACGGAAAGGCCUGCUUUCCCUUGUGGAUUGCGGGUACUCGAGUGGCGAACGGGUGAGUAACACGUGAGUGAUCUGCCCCCAACUUGGGUAUAAGCCUGGGAAACUGGGCCUAAUUCCCGAUAGGACUGCAGGGUGGUGCCUGUGGUGGAAAACGAUUUUCUAGUGGUUGGGGAUGAGCUCGCGGCCUAUCAGCUUGUUGGUGGGGUAAUGGCCUACCAAGGCGGCGACGGGUAGCCGGCCUGAGAGGGUGGACGGCCACAUUGGGACUGAGAUACGGCCCAGACUCCUACGGGAGGCAGCAGUGGGGAAUAUCGCACAAUGGGCGGAAGCCUGAUGCAGCGACGCCGCGUGGGGGAUGACGGCCUUCGGGUUGUAAACUCCUUUCGACCGCGAGGAAGCCACCUGGUUGGAAGGGUGGUGACGGUAGUGGUAGAAGAAGCACCGGCUAACUACGUG
rnacentral:rRNA from 1 species